ACGCUCGACACCUACAGGAGGCAGCAGUUAGGAAUAUUGGGCAAUGGAGGAAACUCUGACCCAGCAACGCCGCGUGAAGGAAGAAGGUUUUCGGAUUGUAAACUUCUGAUCUAGGGGAAGAAGGAAGUGACGGUACCCUAGGAGAAAGCCACGGCUAACUACGUGCAAGCAGCCGCGGUAAUCUGAGCGGGCUGGCAAGGC
rnacentral:rRNA from 1 species